CAGGCAGGAGAGUCACAUUACCUGGGUGCUUGGCCCAGUGGUAUGUCACAAUCCCUUAUGUAGGGAGGGCACAGGUAGCAAAAGACUGUCACAUCAUCUAGUUGCUGGACUAGAGCUAUUGGUCUCUCGGUCGUUCAGGGAGAGGUUUAGGAUCUCCUUAGACAUCCAUGUAACAGAGCCCCAACUCAUCCGUGCUCAGAAGCAAAGGCCAGUGGAGACCAAAUAAGGCUUGAAAGCAUACUUUUGAUCAUCGUCCCUGUCGUCACAAUGGGGCGCCUGACACCAUGGAGACCCUGGAAACCCUCUGAACUCAGGCCCUGCAGGGGUCAGGUGAACAUGUAGGAAGUCCAGGAGAAAAGUCAUCUGCCGUCUCCAGAAUGAACAGCAUUCCAGGAAGAACCCCCCCACACUCCAGGAAGAAGUCAUGAGCCCAGUGGGGAGGCAGGUCCAGCCUGCAACAACUUAGACAUAUGCGGUGCUCCAUAGCUCAUGCUUGUGUCCUGCAGGCAGGAGCCCAUGCCAGCAUCCGCAGUCUUUGUUCUGGGUGUGGAAUUAGUGCUUCAGCUGGUUCCCCAGGCGUCCCCAGAGGGGGAAAGGGUGGAAAAGGUAAGAAUCUUCAGCACAGCAGAUCGCCUUGCCCUGGCAGCGACCAGCCCUGCCCCUGAGGGGCACCAGCAGCCCCCAACUAGAGGCAGUCAUGUCAGGCCUCCUCCCUACAGCAUCUCUCCUGCCUUUUUUUUUCUUUUUUUCACCGCCCUAACCCCCUACUUUUGGUCAUCCUCCUUGUCACAAUGGGGCACCUGCACUGUAGAGACUCUAGAAACACGCAGAUCUGGGGUCCUGCAGCAUCCAGGCUAACAUGCCGGGAAUCAGAGAGAAAAGUCCUCUGAAGCCUCCAGAAGGAAUGGAACAGGACCCGUCACUGCAGGAAGAAGUGGGGCACCCAGUGGCAGAUGGAGGCCCCACGCACUGCAGAGGUAAACGUGUAAGGCGCUCCCUGGCCCGCGCCUGUUUCCUGGAUGCUGGAGUCCGUGACCC
rnacentral:lncRNA from 1 species